UACGUAGGGGGCGAGCGUUUGUCCGGAAUUAUUGGGCGUAAAGAGCGUGUAGGCUGUUCGGUAAGUCUGCCGUGAAAACCUGAGGCUCAACCUCGGGCGUGCGGUGGAUACUGCCGGGCUAGAGGACGGUAGAGGCGAGUGGAAUUCCCGGUGUAGCGGUGAAAUGCGCAGAUAUCGGGAGGAACGACCAGUAGCGAAGGCGGCUCGCUGGGCCGUUCCGUGAACGCUGAGACGCGAAAAGCUAGGGGAGCAAACAGG
rnacentral:rRNA from 1 species